UACGUAGGGAGCAAGCGUUGUCCGGAAUCAUUGGGCGUAAAGCGCGCGUAGGCGGCCUUGUAAGUCCGUUGUGAAAGUCAAAGGCUCAACCUUUGAAAGCCGAUGGAUACUGCAAGGCUGGAGUCCGGAAGAGGCGAGUGGAAUUCCUGGUGUAGCGGUGGAAUGCGCAGAUAUCAGGAGGAACACCGAUGGCGAAGGCAGGUCUCUGGGACGGGUACUGACGCUGGAGGCGCGAAAGCGUGGGGAGCAAACAGG
rnacentral:rRNA from 1 species